UACAGAGGUCCCGAGCGUUGUUCGGAUUCAUUGGGCGUAAAGGGCGUGUAGGCGGUCUCGUAAGUCUGAUGUGAAAGCCCCGGGCUCAACCCGGGAAGUGCAUUGGAAACUGUGAGACUUGAGUACGGGAGAGGGCAGUGGAAUUCCUAGUGUAGGAGUGAAAUCCGUAGAUAUUAGGAGGAACACCGGUGGCGAAGGCGGCUGCCUGGACCGAUACUGACGCUGAGACGCGAAAGCGUGGGGAGCAAACAGG
rnacentral:rRNA from 1 species